rnacentral:rRNA from 1 species
UACGUAGGGUGCGAGCGUUGCCCGGAUUUAUUGGGCGUAAAGGGCGCGUAGGCGGCCACGCACGUCCGUUGUGAAAUCGCUCGGCUCAACUGGGCGGGGUCAGCGGAUACGGUGUGGCUAGAGCAAGCUGAGGGGGCAAUGGAAUUCCCGGUGUAGUGGUGGAAUGCGUAGAUAUCGGGAGGAACACCAGUGGCGAAGGCGGUUGCCUGGAGCUUUGCUGACGCUGA